CAGUCGCCACGGGAAUACGUAGGUGGCAAGCGUUAUCCGGAAUUAUUGGGCGUAAAGCGCGCGCAGGCGGUUUCUUAAGUCUGAUGUGAAAGCCCACGGCUCAACCGUGGAGGGUCAUUGGAAACUGGGGAACUUGAGUGCAGAAGAGAAAAGCGGAAUUCCACGUGUAGCGGUGAAAUGCGUAGAGAUGUGGAGGAACACCAGUGGCGAAGGCGGCUUUUUGGUCUGUAACUGACGCUGAGGCGCGAAAGCGUGGGGAGCAAACAGGAUUAGAUACCCGUGUAGUCCCUGUCUCUUAUAU
rnacentral:rRNA from 1 species